rnacentral:lncRNA from 1 species
CAACUUUUGAUCAAAAUAUUCUUCCAGUUAAUUUGAAUCCAUUUUCGUCAUCGAUUUUUCCACAUGAGGCCCAGACAAUGCUCAAUCAGGGCCGAAAGACCUAUGUUACUGCAGUUUCUGGCCGUCCGGGCCUAUCUCAAGCUGAACGUAGUUCACAGAAGUCGUUUGCAUCGGUUAUACAGGGUAUAGAUGACUCUUCCACCGCUGGGCUUGCUACUAAAGAACCCUUUAUACAUAUGGGUGAGCCGGCAAUAGUUUUGACUGAGUCCGAGGAGGCUACACUCGCUAAUCCUUACAAGUAUACACUUGUGGGGAAAUUUCCACAUCGCAAGCCAACCAUGAGGAAGGUACGUGAGAUUUUUUCUAAGUUUGGGUUCCAUGGUUGUUUCGAGGUGGGACUGAUUGACACAACACACAUUCUUAUACACCUUACACAUGAGGAGGAUUACAGCAGGCUUUUUCUUAAACCUUCAUGGUAUAUUGAUGGUUGUCCGAUGAGAGUCCUUAAGUGGACAUGUGACUUUACACCUGAGCAAAAGACUCCGAUAGUUCCUGUAUGGGUAUCGUUCCCUCUGCUUCCAGUACAUUUACGUGCGAAGGGGUUCCUUUUCGCCUUAUCUGGGGCAAUAGGAAUGCCCUUGAGAAUUGAUGAGGCCACCACCGACUUGAGACGACCUAGUGAGGCAAGGGUGUGCAUUGAGGUGAAUUUGGAGCAUAAGUUGCCCGACAGGGUUUGGAUUGAGCGUGCCGGUACCCGUGGCUUCUGGCAGACAGUUAUCUAUGAGAAGCGGCCAAUUUUUUGCUUCUCUUGUAAACACUUGGGUCAUUCUUAUGAUCAGUGUACUACAAUUCCUCCUCCUCCUCCUACAGUUGUUGUGCACCCCCCCUGUUCGGCCCCCUAUUACUAGGACUGAUAAGGAUAAGGGCAAGGUAACGUUUGUGGAGCCAAAGAAGCAGUGGGUUCCAGUUUCAGCAGUGCCUUCUGUGCUUCCCACUACUACUACCGCAGUUGUGACAGAGUCAGAAUCUGCAUCGACAGUUCCUACCUCUACUCGUAUCACAGUUGAUCCAGAGGUACCUCCGUAUAUUCAUUCAGUUGCUGAGCCUACUCCAAAUGCUCCUAUCGAGGUACCCACUUCUCAUAUUAUUACUUCCAUAGCUCCUAUUCCCACAGCUACUACUGAUAUACCCCCUGAGCCGACGCAUAUGAGUUCUUCACCAUUGAAGACACACACAGAUGGUACUCGGUCAGCGCAGGGAUCAGGUAUCGAGAAAGUUCCUCAAACCACUCUUGCACAGGGGUUGUUGGCUGAGAUCAGCUCAGAGCGACAUGGUGUCAAGCAUAUGCUGAUUGAUCACUUUAAGAAGGACCAUGGAAUGAAAGUUGGAUCUACCAUGAGAUUUGCUAUUGAGGACUUGGUUUUUAAGCUCUUUGGAGAGGGACCUUCUGUGAGUAAGACUCCUACACAUACACCUUCACCUAGUCCUUCUAUCGCAGCUCCUACACACAAUAAGGUGAAAGAACAUAUACAGAGAGACAUGGAUGACAUGGGCCUUGGAAACUGCAUGCAAAAUGCAGAGGACGAUGUCCCUACAGCAAGCAGGUCAAUCUCCCACGAUUUAGAUGUCGUAGCACAGAACACCAUGAGAUUAGACGCACCUAUAACUAGUACAAUGAGAUCAGAUACACCCGCUUUUCACCCGACAUUCAGUGCACCACCAUCUGAACAGUACUUAUCAACAAAGCAGGCUCCUACACGCAGGCGAGACCCCUCUCCAACGAGCGAGCCAGACAUCGCAGACUACUAUGAUCCGAAAAUGUUUCAAACCAGACGCAUGACUCGAUCAAUGUCUAUGUACUACCACCCGAAGAUUUACCCUCGAGAAUACCCUUGAGUACCUUUCAUUAGUUUUUGUUCGUGUCUUGUUUACUGUGAUUGCAUUUUAUUUUCAAAUAUUUGUUACAAUUUACAUUUGCUGGAGGUCAGGUCCAUGCCCCCCUCCUCUAUUUGUUUUCCCGCUUUUCAUUAUAUAAAAUAAACCACACUAGUGGUAUUUGCUUAAAAAAAAAAAUUAUAGUUUAAGUAGAGUUAGUACUUCCCUAGGUCAUUGGGAAGGAUAAAAUCAAGGGACCUUAAAUCGACCCAAAAAGGGGGAGAGCCCGAACCAUAUAGACCCCGACCUCAAAUUUAACGGCAUUGAAGAGGGUUAAGAUCGAGCCAUUUAGGUCGAGCUCGAGGGUUAGAAAGUUUUUGGGACAUCAGGGCUAAACCUUUCUAUUUCCCCUCAUCAUAUCACAGGGUAAUAUCUUAAAUCUUGAUAUACUAUUUGAUGCCAAUCUAUUAGAACAAAAGCAACAUCCAUAUAUUUCAUCAUAUCCAAUGGGAAAAUUCCUCGACGUGAGAAAAUAAAAUGAGAAAAAGCUUGCUUUGAGCCUAAAAUGCUCUUUAGCUAUUAAUUUUCAUAUGUUAUUUUUCUGUGAAGCAUUACUGUUGACCUCAAAAAUUGUACCUUCCACGUUGUCAACCGAUAGCUACUCCACGUAUUUCUCCCUGGGCACAAUCAACAUACGGUUAGAUGUACACGGUCGGGACCAGCGGGGGUGGUGGCGACCGUAUACACUCCGAUGAUCAAGUCAGGUCCGGGUGGUCGGAACAGUACCCAGAGAUUGUGUCAAAAACCCUAAGGGGGAGGAGAAAAUAUAUAAAUUUGCUAUGGAGUGCUAUGUAGUAAGAGUUUCAUUACCUUUGCCUCUUGCCAAACCUUGGAUAUUUAUAGGUGGGAUGAACUGUUGGAUGUGGGACACGUGUAUACAUCUGACGGUAUGAGACUGCCGCUCAUAGGCGUCAAUCAGUCACGUCUGUAGAGUGGGUGGGUAGUUUGUUUCUCCCGAGUUGAGUUGACAUAAAGUUGAUAAGUCACAUUAAUUAGCCUCAUGGAGACGUCAAAUCAAUUUAAACCUUAGGUGCAAAGAGGAUCUUGGCAAAAAUCUCUUUCUGAAAUUGGCGGCAGAUCUUCUGACAGAGGUCCACUUCGCCUCGACCUCAGCGGCGAGGGCGCUUCAGUCUAUUCAGCAGGAUCGUCUAUGUCUCGCAGUGUGCUAUUAGGUUGUUGACAUUGGUGAGAUCACUUCGAAAACACUUCGGAUGGGUGUCUUUGAGGUCGAAAUGUAUGGUAGUGGGCAUUCCGAGGCGGUUUAGAUAGGGGGCGUAACAGUGGUCCCCCAAGUCCAAGUAUGAAUAUUUAUAUCAUGGGUAGACUUGCUUUCCUGAUCAGAUGUGCAUGUCUCGGUACUGGGGACCACGACUUGUGGGAGCUUAUGGGUUGAUCUUCUGCAGUAACCAAAGCCAUGAUCUUAGGCAGAUGCGCCAAAGCUUCGUUACUGCAUAAGGGAAAUAAUAACCGAUGUGAGGUCGAAGCGCUGCAAGACUGGACGAUUAGUAGGAAUCAAAAGUCAACACGACGAUCGAGGCGAUGACCCAUAGGGGACUCGCAUCAGGCGUGCCUAAGCUUUGUGAAAUUGAGUGAGGAGCUCAUCUACCACCAGUGCGCUGACCCACGGAGGAUGACGCGUUGGGAGAUGGCUAAAACUUUGUAAAGCUUAGGAGGGAAUGCAGCGGCCGAGAUGAUGACCCACAGGGGACUCCGUGUUAGGUACGUCUAAGCUUUGUAAAGUUGAGUGAGGAGCUCAUCUGUCACCGACAUGCUAACCCAUAAUGGACGACACAUUGGGAGAUGGCUAAAACUUUGUAAAGCUUAAGAGGGAACGCAGCGGUCGAGGCGAUGACCCACAGGGGACUCCGUGUCAGGUGCGUCUAAGCUUUGUAAAGUUGAGUGAGGAGCUUAUCUGUCAUCGGUGCAUUGACCCACAGGGGACGACGCGUUGGGAAAUGGCUAAAACUUUUUAAAGCUUAGGAGGGAACGCAGCGGUCGAGGCGAUGACCCACAGGAGACUUCGCGUCAGGUGCGUCUAAGCUUUGUAAAAUUGAGUGAGGAGCUCGAUCCGAGGUGAUUCAGACAUCAAAUGAUUUGACAACUGUUGCGUAUUUCCAAGGUGACAGUUGGGUGCCAUGCCCAUUUUCCUAAAAGGCUGCUGCGACUACUUAUUAUUGACGGCUGGUGGUGAUCGAGGUGACACGUUUUAAGCGAGCGUGAAGGUCACAUUGACAUCUUGGGCGUAGAUCAAAUCUGGCAUUUCAUUUCAAUGGCCUAGAUUGAAGAUGUGAUGAAUGGCUUAGAUUGAUCGCAUUUGAAUUCAACGAUGGAGAUCGGAUGGGUCUUUCUAUAAAAGACGUACUCUGAGCUUUUCUCAAGCUUUCUAUCCUUGCGAAAACAGACAUACACUUUGCUCUCAAGCCAUUUGCGAUUUUCGACAUUUUCUAAGCAAUUUCGACGAGAAACUUGAACUUCCAGCGAGAAAUACCAACAUCCGGCGACCUUACACCAUUUCCAACUAGGAAAACCUUCAAACUCGUAAGUUUCAGUACCUUUUAGGAUUUUUAACUUCUGAAAAAUGGCUUCUGAGGGGAGUUCUGGUUCGGAGAGGGGGUUAGAACUAGUGAGGAUGGAUGAGCCCAUUGUGACGACCUCUUCAAAAAUAGCCGAGGCGAUAAUAGGGGGGAUAAGACCCGAGGGUGGUACUACCUUACUUCAUGGGGUUCCCACACUCCAUUCGUGCACGAUCUACCGAGCUCCAUCAAAGAAUGGAAGAGCUCGUGGUGCUGGGCCACUAGGCGAUGGGACACGAUGGAGGGAGACCCCCUGACGCCUCUUACGGUCCCGACGAAGUACUCAACACUUAGUGAGUAUAGUAGUUGCUUUUCUUUAUAUUUCUCUUCAGUUCGAACCGUGACUAAUAUUUGCAUUUCUUUUGUAGGUACCCUUCCUCGGUGUGAACUGUCUUUCGAAGACUUCGACACCAUCUGCAUCAUCUAUCAGCUGCCUCAAAAGAAGAGGUCAUACCAUCGGCUGAUCCGAAAGAACAUUCACUUCGUUACACACGACUUGAUGGUAUCCCAAGGUAACUAGACCGAAGUCUUUACCCUUUAUUCUGAACUUUUAACACUUGUACUAAUUCGUCAUUCGUUCCUUGCAGACAAUUUUAAUAAGAAGAUGCUCGUGCGCACUGACUUUAAGACCAUCCAGAGGAUUAUGGCAAAGGCACGAGCACUGAAGGCCUCAUCCUCCUCCUACAAGAAGCAAAUGGAGGAUCUGGUGGAUGCCAGUAAGAAGCUUCAGCCUCCGACGGAGGAGGAGGUACCGGAGGACCCGGAGGUUGAUCUACAGAGAAAGGGCAAGAAGAGCGCCGCCCCUCCAAAACGCCCAACUGUGGCGAAGCCACCUCCCGUUCUGAAGAAGACCAUAAUUCCAACCAGGGUAGCCAUUCCGAAGAAGAGGCAUGUGCAUCUGAGGCUGCCACUGCCCCGACCACAACACCACUUGCCGCCGUGCCAAUCGCUCAAGUGUCGGGGCAGCAGAAGAGGAAAAGGGCCCGUCCCUCUAGGGAGGUCGACUUUCUAGGCACAAAAUUUGGAGGAGCCAGUGAGGAAAGUGUUGGAGGCCCUUUCUCCAGAAACAGCUAUAGUGGCGGUGGUCCACAACAAAUACUGGACCGAGGAGUGGAGGGACCACAUCACCUCCUGCACAGCUAAGACUUGGUGGCUGCCAAUAGCGCCUGCGUAGCUCGGGCCCUGAGCACAAGCAUCCAACUCGAGGGCCUGGUGAAGGAUCUGAACUCCAAGAGGGAGGACCUCGCCAAGCGCCUCAAGGAGUGAUGCAAUAUGGGGAUGCCGUGCGAGAGGCCCGGGCCAAGGCCUCGCAGGGGGAGGAGGGAAAGAAAGAGGCCGAGGCCCAGCUAACUGUCGUCAAAGCAGAAGUGGAGCGGCUGAAGAAGGAGUUAUACGAGGUGAAGUGCCAAGUGGCUGUUAUGUCUCGGUGAGUUGAUCACGCCAACGAGCACCACAAGCUCGCCACCGAAGCUCUAGAGGCCUCAAACAAAGAGAAGGUGGAGCUGAGGCAGAAGACAGAGGCUCAGUCUGAGAAGAUUGCCUCCUUGAAGAAGGAGUUGAAGUCUGUAGGGGAGGUGACAGUUCAGAACUUCAUCGACCAUUUCGAAGACCAUCCCCUGUAUGACGACUUCGCCAAUUUUUAGGCCUCUUGGAGUGCCCAAUGCUUAUUAGGUCGACUGAAAGAGGUCCAUUCCACUCUAGACAUCUCCUCUUUGAAGGCAGAGUUUGGGGGACCAACUAGAGGUCGGGCUGAUAGGCUUGUUGAAGAAGCUCCGGAGGCCCCGGAGGUGGCCAAUGCAGAAGCGGUCAAGGCAGAGGUCCCUCCACUAGAAUAGGGCCAUCUUUUGUAAUGGCUUCGGCCUUCUUGUACUUCAAUUCUAAUUAAAU